CACGCAAUGACGUAGACACGCACAAACGCACGCAGGCCCUGGCCAGUAGGAGACGUUGAUGGACUCACCGGGCCCUGAGCCCCGAGGGACGACCGGGCCAAGUCCGGAGCUAGAGACCAGCUGCCCGGAGCAGUGAGCUGCACCUCCGCUCUCCUUGUGGAAGCUCCAGGAAACGGGAAUGCUGGCCGUGAGGAAGUCCUUGCCAUGUCUACCACUGCUCUUUGCGGUGACUGUACCCCCAGGACGUCGCCUCCUCUUCGGAGCCCAGAGGACCUGCUCAGAGUUGGCCUCCCUUUCUUGUCCCCCCUGGGCAGCACCCUGCAGAACACCCUGCCCCCGAUGGCCUGUCUGAGCACUUGCCUUGGCAGUUUCUUAUCCUUCAACCUUCCAGUGACCUCUGUCCAUCCAGCCCCCCCAGCUCCAGCUGUGUCCUGGGCACUUGACACCACCGGGCCUCUCAGCGCUCACCACCCUGGUGCUGCACACCCUCUCUGUGGCCCAGAUGUUCUCCUGCCCAGCCCAUCCUUUCUGCUCAGUGUGAUUUCUCCACACCUCUCCCCUCUGAGCCUGUCACCUGUUCUGUUCUCCUCACUUGUCGAGAGGUGCAAACUGCACCACGGAGAAUGCUACCUCCCGCACCCCGUGUGCUUCUCUGACUUUGAGGCCCAGAGAACAUUCCAGUUUGCUCCUGCUGCAUGUUUUGUGGCACCACCGGUCUGGGACCGGCUUGACCCAGACUCCCAGUUUCUCUCAUACACUUCUCAGCAGGUCCACUUUGCUCCUCUCUGAAAUGCCUUCUGCCCAUCUUGCUGUUGAUCUGCUGGUCUUUUUGGUUCAGAGUUGUGGGAGCUGAUUUUGAAGACUGGAUGGUAAUCCCCCCUUGGUUGUUUGCGUUUCAGACUCCUCCUCUCUUUGCAGGCCUGCUUUGGACUCAGUAUUCACCUAGGCUCUCGAACUUGACACUCCAAGUCCACAGGAAGAAGCUGCACCACAAGGAACCUGCAGACGUGGGCGGGCUACUUUGACGCCACUGAGACCCACUCAGCCGACUCGUGAGUAUCUGCAUGCUCAGUGGCGACUUUGGCAAGUACAGAAAGUAUCUGAAGAAUUAGGACAAAGGGCACUCAUGAGGCGCUACACGGAGGCAUAAACGCUCACAAUUUGGACCUGUUCCCCUGGUUCUUUUCCUGUGUUUUCUCUUUACUCAGUUCAGUUCAUGCUGUAUGAGCAUUCUGUCUUAUGUUUUUUCAUUUAAUGUUAAGUAUUAUCCCAUGUUCUGAGAGGUUCCUCAGAAGACAUCUCACUAAGCUCUGUACCUUGUUCUGGAGUGUAUUGGGUUCCAGGCUCUCCCCGCUCAAGACCAACUGACAAAUCCUCGGGCAUGGCCCAGCAUACCUUGGACCCAAUGACGUCUCUGGUCAGAAACUCCAGCUCAGGGGUUCCCCCUGAAGCGGACGCAGAGACCGCGUUUAUGGAGUCUCCAAUGUCAAUGUCAAGUUGGACGCUGUGUCCAACAGCCUUCAACUGCCUGGUAAUCCCGUUUCCCAGCAUUCGGUCACCCAGUGCAUAGCCAGAGGUCCCUUUGGGAAGGGCUAGGGGGUCAUUCCAGUGUCUACUUGCCAUGGCGCUGCAGUGUCCUUCCCCUUGCGGUCCUGGCCACCUCCCUAAUCCACAGUUCCAGGUCCAAAACCUGGCUCAGGGGCAGAACCUGGGCAAGGGAUCAUGACUUGUCUGUUGGGGUGGCUGCCCUCAGCUGCCUGCCAUCCGUUCUUGCUCUUUCGAGUGUCCAUUUUAGGUUGUACCUUGGUCAGUUGCCCAUCCGUUGUGCCCCCAGGGAGGCUGUGUUCUGCUGACCACCUCCACCACUUGAUGGGUCAGGCCUCCUUGUCAGUGGUGUCCAUCAUCCUGAGCCCCUGGAUUCUGGCCGUUCAGUGCCACUCCAGGUCUUCUACUGCGGUUCCUUGGCCAGGGGGUGGUGUUCAUUUCCGUCCAUUACGAGGCCUGGCACAUUCUGCCUGUGUUGUGUGGUGACCUCACUCUGGUUGGGGGCCUGGCAGGAAGCCUACCACAUCUUCCUGGUUUUCGUGGGACUCUCCUGGUUUUAGCACUGCAACCCACAGAAAACUGGGACAGUUGCUCCCCCUACCUCCUGAGAUGGCGGGCACCGGUGGGGAAAGGUGUGCAAUUUUGUGCUCCCUCGGGGAUGGGGUGGAUACACUAGCUCUUUAUGGGAAGGGGUGGGCCGCUGCCGCAGGCUCGGAAGUUUCAGAGAUGUCUGGGGAGUCUAGAUCUUCCAGGGCCCUCUCUCAGAUGUCCCUGUUCCUUAUGUCAGGGAUGCAGAUUUUCCCAUGGGGCUUCUGACGUUGGCCUGACAGGGCUGCCUUGGUUGAAUGUUCAACCGUUUUUAAAGUUCAACCAUGCCUACCAAAUCCUGAGUUUGACCUUCGUCCGCUGCCUGCGACAGGGGCCACUUUGUAAGCUACCGAGGAGACCCUGGGGCUCCCCCUUAGUUUUCAGUCUGUUAAUCACCCCGGGCUUCUCUUCCCCUUGCAGGUCAUCAAAGCAAAAAGGUCACCCCCAUCCAUUCCCAUUGUCCUUAGAGUUGUCCUUCCCAUAUGUGCCACACGCCUGGAUC